GGGGCGGAUGUAGCCAAGUGGAUUAAGGCAGUGGAUUGUGAAU
rnacentral:tRNA from 6 species